CGUACACUCCUACGGGAGGCAGCAGUGGGGAAUAUUGGACAAUGGGCGCAAGCCUGAUCCAGCCAUGCCGCGUGAGUGAUGAAGGCCCUAGGGUUGUAAAGCUCUUUCACCGGUGAAGAUAAUGACGGUAACCGGAGAAGAAGCCCCGGCUAACUUCGUGCCAGCAGCCGCGGUAAUACGAAGGGGGCUAGCGUUGUUCGGAUUUACUGGGCGUAAAGCGCACGUAGGCGGACUAUUAAGUCAGGGGUGAAAUCCCGGGGCUCAACCCCGGAACUGCCUUUGAUACUGGUAGUCUUGAGUUCGAGAGAGGUGAGUGGAAUUCCGAGUGUAGAGGUGAAAUUCGUAGAUAUUCGGAGGAACACCAGUGGCGAAGGCGGCUCACUGGCUCGAUACUGACGCUGAGGUGCGAAAGCGUGGGGAGCAAAUAGGAUUAGAUACCCCAGUAGUCCCAUGA
rnacentral:rRNA from 1 species